GGGAUUACAGGCGCCGCCAUCACGCCCGGCUCAUUUUUUUGUUUUAGUAGAGAGGAGGUUUCACCGUGUUAGCCAGGAUGGUCUCAAUCUCCUGACCUCGUGAUCCGCCCGCCUCGGCCUCUCAAAGUGCUGGGAUUACACGCGUGAGCCCCCGCGCCUGGCCUGAAGAAAGAAGUCAUUAAAGAAGCAACCCAUGGCAAAACUAGUUAUUUUCUUAAAACAGUAGGAAGAAGAAAAGCUUUUUG
rnacentral:lncRNA from 1 species